rnacentral:rRNA from 1 species
GACGAACGCUGGCGGCGUGCUUAACACAUGCAAGUCGAACGGAAAGGCCCUGCUUUUGUGGGGUGCUCGAGUGGCGAACGGGUGAGUAACACGUGAGUAACAUGCCCUUGACUUUGGGGUAACUUCAGGAAACUGGGGCUAAUACCGGAUAGGAGCUCCUGCUGCAUGGGGGUGGUUGGAAAGUUUCGGCGGUUGGGGAUAGAUUCGCGGCUUAUCCGCUUGUUGGGGGGGUAGUGGCUUACCAAGGGUUUGACGGGUAGCCGGCAUGAGAGGGUGGACGGGCACAAUGGGACUGAGAUACGGCCCAGACGCCUACGGGAGGCAGCAGGCGGGAACAUUGCACAAUGGGCGGAAGCCUGAUGCAGCAACGCUGCGUGCGGGAUGACGGCCUUCGGGUUGUAAACCGCUUUCGCCUGUGACGAAGCGUGAGUGACGGUAAUGGGUAAAGAAGCACCGGCUAACUACGUG